CCUACGGGUGGCUGCAGUCGAGAAUCAUUCACAAUGGGGGAAACCCUGAUGGUGCGACGCCGCGUGGGGGAAUGAAGGUCUUCGGAUUGUAAACUCCUGUCAUGUGGGAGCAAAAUAACAAGAUCGUACUACAAGACGCAGAGACGGCUAACUCUGUGCCAGCAGCCGCGGUAAUACAGAGGUCUCAAGCGUUGUUCGGAUUCACUGGGCGUAAAGCGUGCGUAGGCUGUUUCGUAAGUCGUGUGUGAAAGGCGAGGGCUCAACCCGCGACAGGCACAUGGUACUGCGAGACUAGAGUGAAGGAGGGGGAAGCGGAAUUCUCGGUGUAGCAGUGAAAUGCGUAGAUAUCGGGAGGAACACUCGUGGCGAAGGCGGGUUACUGGACAGUAACUGACGCUGAGGCACGAAGGCCAGGGGAGCGAAAGGGAUUAGAUACCCUAGUAGUC
rnacentral:rRNA from 1 species